CACGGGGGGAGCAAGCAUUGCUCGGAAUCACUGGGCGUAAAGGGCGUGUAGGCGGCUAGGUAAGUGGGAUGUGAAAUGCCCCGGCUCACCCGGGGACCGGCAUCCCAAACUGCUUGGCUUGAGUAUGGGAGAGGAUGAGGGAAUUCCUGGUGUAGCGGUGAAAUGCGUAGAUAUCAGGAGGAACACCGGUGGCGAAGGCGCUCAUCUGGCCCAAUACUGACGCUGAUGCGCGAAAGCUAGGGGAGCAAACGGG
rnacentral:rRNA from 1 species